rnacentral:rRNA from 1 species
UACGUAGGGCGCAAGCAUUGUCCGGAAUUAUUGGGCGUAAAGAGCUCGUAGGCGGCUUGUCACGUCGGGUGUGAAAGCCCGGGGCUUAACCCCGGGUCUGCAUUCGAUACGGGCAGGCUGGAGUUCGGUAGGGGAGAUCGGAAUUCCUGGUGUAGCGGUGAAAUGCGCAGAUAUCAGGAAGAACACCGGUGGCGAAGGCGGCUCGCUGGGCCAGUUCUGACACUCAUCCGCGAAAGCGUGGGGAGCAAACAGG